rnacentral:lncRNA from 1 species
UUUUUCAUUGGACCAAACUUCUCCCCCAAUUAAACCCUGGUUCUUUUUGCACGCUCCUUCUUUGGAGAUCCAAACGGUGUAUGGAGAAAUGCAGCCGAUAUCCACUCUUCUUUAAAUAGUUCAUCAUCAUCUAAAGAUAUCAUCAUCAUCGUUGACGUGAAGAGCUCCAAUCGCCACUGAAUCCACCGCCUCUGACCGAUUUCAAUGACAAUCGACUUUCAAAACCCUAGAUCGCAACUGGAAUCUUGUGAUAGCUUAUAACGACUGCUAUGUGGAGCCUCUUUUUAGGCAUUUGCAAACUUGAAAACGGAUUAUCGGAGCGACUAUCCGACGAUUCCAACUUCUAAGUCUCCAGCUAAGGGUUUUAUUGAUGGUUAUUUGAACUAUGUGUGUUAAUUAUUCUUCAUAUGUCAAAUUUUAUACAGGGGACUCAUAUCUUAUUUUGAAGGAACUGUGUUAAAUUUUUAAGUUUUGUCUCUGUAUGAAAUGAAAUCAGAAGUAACCUAUGAAACGUAUUGAUAACUUCAACUGAAGUAACCUAGUUGAGGCGUACACGAAACCAGUGGCGGAACUAGAAGAAAUAUUCAGGGGUAUCCCAAAUUUUUUUACGAUACAUUUAUAGAACAGAAUUUUUUUUACCUGCAUUACGGGGCGGGGCCGAUCCUGAAAAUUCAAGUGCCCUGGGUGAGAAAAAAAAAGGCCCUUAGAGCACACGGGGCACCCACGUUAUUUUAUCACCGGAACAAAUCAUCACGCGUUAAACUUCCAUUUUCCCACCCCCACAAGAAACUAUAACGCGUUAUAGUAUAACGAAAACAUGAUUUCGUGAAUUUUUCCACGCCGUGAUGGUUUUAUUUGUGAGGGUAUUUGUUGGUUGGGGGGAAAUUGUUGGGUGUGGUGAUGAGUGAUGACCACCCCCACUAAAAAGGUUGUGAGUGAUGGAAAAAUGGUCGAUGACAUGGCGGAACUUGAUUGGUGCUUGUGAGUGAUAAAUUCUAUCACUAGUGAACCACCCCCCCCCCCUCCCCUUAGGCCUUAGACCAUGUGUAGUGGUUAAGAAAAAUAAUGCCUCCACCAUGGGGCAUUAUCCGACACGUGGCAGUCCAGUCAGCAUGGGGCGUUAUUGCAAAAGUGGCGUAGUGGGAAUAAUGCCUAAUAAUCCCUUUUAGGCGUUUUUUUAUAAAAAAAAAUAAAAAAAAAACCAAGCUAGUUUCUCAUUGGCCAGUCAACCCAUCACAAUCUCUUUUAGGCGUGGUUUUAAAAGCGCCAAGCAAAUUUUUUUCAAAAAAACUGCCCCAUAACGCCCUAUAUAAUGGGGAGGGGGGCGUUUUUUUUUUGGAUUUUUUUUCAAAAAUAAUGCCCCACUACGGGUGGUCUUACCGAAUUAAAUUUUAUAAAGUAGUUUUUUUUAAGUUAUUAGUAUUUAGGUUAACGAAUCAAUAUUGAGCAUAUCACAUUUGGGCUAGGCUUUAUGAAUUAAUAUUGACAAUAAGUUUUUAGAUAUUAGAUUGGGCUAGUUUUU